AGUUUUACUUUGUCGGUGUGCUCUGAUAAAGGAAACUUCAAGAGUUUGAGAUUUAGCUGUUUUCUGCAUCUUUUCAAAGGUGUCUCAAAUGUGUCUCAUUACCUUUAAAUCUCAGAGAUAGUUUAUAUUUGUCUUGUGUGCGACUCACAUUUUUUACCCCAAAGCAGUAUUUCCCACACAUAAAAUAUACAGUGCUUGUUAACAGUGCAUUUGGGUUUUCUGAUAUGUUGUGUAGAAUUAAACAUUCAACUCAUAAACAACUCAUCACUUUAAGAAAAAAAUUAUAUUUAACUACUAUUUAACCGGAAUAUCGAUGCAAAAAUGUACAACUCACAAAAUUACGUUCUUGAUAUAAAAUGUAUUGUAGCAUUUCUCUCAUGGCCAACCCAAUUAGGCCUACAGUAUACAUGUCAAUUCUAAUAAAGACAUAAUUUUCCACAAUUUCUCCCACACAUGUUCCAAGCCUGCAAAUCUUUAAGCGGCCAGUGCGUUAAAGAAAUGUGCAGGGCAUUGCCAGGCUUGGUGUCAAGUCAGCAAAAACCACUUUAACAAGCAUCAUUCAUCCAGACAUUUAAGUAGUGGUGGCGCACCAUCUACUUUGCCUGCCGCAGAUCAAAUAAAGAAGAUGAUCAAGAUGAAGACAAAAUGGACAGUGAAGAAGCAUGCAAACUCAGAAAACUUUAGGGAGAACAAGAAUCUCACCAAAGAAACUGCAGGAGAAUGUUCAAGAGUCUCCAUUAGCACCGCAUCAUCAGUCAGAUACUAAGCAACUCCAAGAGCCAGACUUUGGACAAACUUGUUGGGCAUCCACCACAAGAGAAGACUGAUGUAGCUGGUUAGAAAAAAAGAUUCCAGUCCUGUUCCUGUAGCCCUUACAUAACACAAGCAACCAAUUUUCCCUUUAAAAAAAUUCAUCUUCUUUUUGACAGAUUCUUUUAACUGGAAAAUCUUCACAAUGCUAUGGACUUUGUGUAACUCCUGUAUAAAUCAUACUUUUUAGUUAGCAGUGUGACAUUUG